AAAUUGAAAACACUGUAAGAGAAAGAAAUGAAAAUUUCACUUUUACAUAAUGCGUCUCGCCUUCCUCUUUCACCUGCGAGCUUCCCCAAACCCUUUCCAUCCCUUGUUUCUCUUCGCUUUCUCGCUCUCUCUUUUCUUCAUCAACGAAAGAUUGAUUUCGCUACUGGCCUAGGUUAACUUGCGUAACCAUUGCCAUCGCCGACCACCAUCACCACCACUGUAACCAUUGCCGAUAGCCGCCGUCCAUCAUCCUACUCCUUGGACUUUGUUUCCAUCCAAUCUGCUUCAGAUCCGCAUCUCUGUCAUUGUUUGUUCAUCUUAGAUCUAUGUUGCCAAGGUCUUUCGGUCACCGUUGCUGCUCUUGUUGCAACACCACAUCUCCGCCGCUUGCACUGCUGCCGUUCUUGCACGUAGACGCACAAGAUCGUCGCCGCCGGAUUUGAAAGAUAGGAAGCUCAAGCGUCAGCUAUCUCUUAGAGAAUAAUUAUAUGGCAAUGCUAUGAAAGCUGCUUCUAAGGCGGAAAAGGUCGCAUUGUAGAUGAGGAAGAAAAUAAACGUGACUUGAAGGACCUUACAGGGGAAGGAAAUAUUGAGAGCAUACGUUUUGUCGAGCAAGGGUUGCGGGAAUUAGCUUCACUAAAGGUGUCUUUUAUAUCUUUAGUUUAAAAUUGUCCAGACAUGCCCUUCUUUUAGUUUAGUUUAAUGGUUUUAUAUGCUUUUAUAUUAUUAUAAAAAAUAUCCUUAUUAAAUUAGUGCUUAGGCCACUUAUAAUAUUCUUGAUGUAUCAGAAUCUUGGCUUAGUAUGUUCUUGUUUUGUUUUUAUUGGAUUACCAAAGCUGUGAUGGGAUUUGUCUUUUGAUUGUUUCUAAAGCAAGUGCGCAUUGGUUUCAAGAUUAAAAUAUUAAUUACAACUAAUUCUUAGCCAUAUAUGGUUGGUAUGAUUUUUAACCUUAUCAUAGUCUCCUUUGGUUAUUUAAGGCACUGCAAUUUUUCUGUCAGACUGUGUCAUGUGACUCAAGUCAUUUUUUGCCACGGUAAUUAUAACAUUACUAUUCCUACCUUUUAGAUUUAAGUAUACUUCCUAGCUCCUUCAUUUGCAUUGAUUUCAUUCUGCUAGUCUUAUUUUCUCUAACUUCUUGUUGAUUAUCUAUCAUCUCUACGUACAUUGGAACAAAGCAAGCUGCACAUAGGUUGAAGAUUAUAUUUGGAUUAGCUGGUCUGAAAUCUGCUGAGCUUCAUGAAAAUCUUACUCAAGCCCAGCGCCUUGAAGGCCUUGACAUCAUGGGUGUUCAAACAAUUAUCAACUAUGCAUGUUCUCGCAAUCUUUACCAGGAAAAGAGAGCUGGUUCAAAGCUGAAGAGCCGAAUUGUAGCAGAGCGAUCCAUACAUAAAUGGUCUCAUAUAAUUGGGCAAUUUGGAGGAUCAAAUUGCAAAAAUACUUGAAGAAUAGAGGGAAGGAAGAGCCCUAAUAAAAGCUGAAAUAGGGGCCACAAAGGCUGAAAACAUGAUUACUCAUAAGGAAGAGAUCUUUUCCCACCCAAAAGAACCUGGUUUGUAACAGAGAUAAAAAAAGAAGGUUGCUGCAAAAGCAGCGAAGGAUAUAUAUUCAAACUUGUUUCCAUGCAUUAUUCAGUAAUUGCAUGAUGGAUUUUUAGCCAAUGCAUAAAAAUUUGCCGAGAAAGCAUAGAAAAUUGGAAGUGGCUAGAGAGAUGUUGGAAGAUGAAGGAGAUGAUGACAAACCUGAAGUAUGCACUUCCUGUUUGCAUUUAAGGUUGUAAUUUUCGUCAUGCAUCAGGAGAGAUGUAUCUAAUAUCAUGAGCCUUGGCUAAAUUUGUAUCAAUAAACAGCUUGACAGAUUUGUUCUCUGUACCUAUGUCCAAGAUGAUGUUCGUGCUGGAUACUGGUUAAUUAAAAAUUGGGAACUUUGCUU